CCUGCCUGAUGGUCCAGAGUGAUGUGUUGUGGACAGCAUUUAAUGCAUACACUCAUGCAAAUACACAUAUACACACACAGACAGACAUAGACAUACACAGACACAUUCACAAAUAAACACAGAUGAACGCACACAACAAAUACAGACAGAUACACAGUCAGAUGCACAAAUACAGUCCCCUUCUCUCCCAUUCUCCUGCCACCCAUGCUUCUGCUAGAUUGGAAAAUCUGUGCUCUCAAUGCUGCAGGCCUCUCUAUGACCUCUAACCUUCCCCAAGUCCUUCUCUCCACUGAGAAUGAUCUGCUCUGGCAGCCCACAUGCAUAUUUCCAGAUGUUGUUCAAAUGUAACCUCCUCGGGCUCACCUUGACUUGGCGGUUGGCAUAGCUAUCACUCCUGUCUUUCACAUCCAUCAGGGCACUCACUCCUUUAUGCUCUAAGAGAUCUUGCAAAAUGUCAAUUCUCCUCAUUGGUUAAGAGCAGUCUUGGGGCGGGGCUACUCAUCUUUGGAUUCCAGGUGCCCAACACGAUGCAUGGUGCACAGUAAGAACUCAACGGCUCACAUGAGCAAUCAAGCAAGCUCUUCCUACUGUAUGAUUCUGUGAACUGGAUUGGCCUUGGGGCUAACAAACCAAACUGCAAGCCCCAGGGAGGCAGAGAUGCCGAGUAGAACUUAAAUACUUUUUCC
rnacentral:lncRNA from 1 species